GAUGAAGAACGUAGCGAGAUGCGAUAAGUAGUGUGAAUUGCAGAAUUCAGUGAAUCAUCGAAUCUUUGAACGCACAUUGCGCCCCUUGGUAUUCCAUGGGGCAUGCCUGUUCGAGCGUCAUUUGUACCUUCAAGCUCUGCUUGGUGUUGGGUGAUUGUCUAUCUUUGUAGACUCGCCUUAAAGUCAUUGGCAGCCGGCAUAUUGGCCUGGGAGCGCAGCACAAGUCGCGCUUCUUGUCAUGAAUGUUGGCGUCCAGUAAGUCUACAUAUUUUGCUCUUGACCUCGGAUCAGGUAGGGAUACCCGCUGAACUUAAGCAUAUCAAUAAGCGGAGGA
rnacentral:misc_RNA from 1 species